rnacentral:rRNA from 1 species
GACGAACGCUGGCGGUGUGCCUAACACAUGCAAGUCGAACGGUAAGGCCCUUUCGGGGGUACACGAGUGGCGAACGGGUGAGUAACACGUGAGUAACCUGCCCUCAUCUCUGGGAUAACAGUCGGAAACGGUUGCUAAUACUGGAUAUGAGCUUGCCAGGCAUCUUGUGGGUUGGAAAGAUUUUUUUGGUUGGGGAUGGACUCGCGGCCUAUCAGCUUGUUGGUGAGGGAGUGGCUCACCAAGGCUUCGACGGGUAGCCGGCCUGAGGGGGCGACCGGCCACAUUGGGACUGAGAUACGGCCCAAACGCCUACGGGAGGCAGCAGUGGGGAAUAUUGCACAAUGGACGGAAGGCUGAUGCAGCAACGCCGCGUGCGGGAUGACGGCCUUCGGGUUGUAAACCGCUUUCAAUUGUGACGAAGCUUUUUGUGACGGUAGCAGUAGAAGAAGCACCGGCUAACUACGUG